CUCAAAUCCACGAUGGGAGGCGAAUGGUAUUCUUUGAAGCUUAUUCAGAUGAUGAAGCUUGCGCUACAGCUCUUCAGGAAGUUGAAGAAAUGGCUGAUAGUAUGUCUUCAUGAUGUUUUCCUAGCUAUUUGGAUAUUAAGUAAAUUUUAUCUGUUGAUUCUGGAGACAAUUUGAUUUCCCUGUCAUUUUAUCAGGAAACUAUGAGUUUAUCUUUGAUUGAUUACCUCCCAAGCUUACAUAUUUGUGUUGCCUUUUUAGGCUAAGUUCAUGGUGACUACUUCCUAACUGAUUGAGUUCUCUAUGAUUUAUCUCUUUUUUUGUAUGGAAAGAUCGACCUAUAUUAGCCUAUGACUAUGAGUUCCGGCU
rnacentral:lncRNA from 1 species